UGCUGAGCAAAAAUUCUGUGAGUUCUCAUAAAAUGGCCACCCCCUAAUGUAGGGUAGUAAUUCCUGAUUCUGACAGCUGGAGAGAAUCUCCUGGAGGAUCAGCUAAAAAUAGCGGCCUUUACCUUACUCCCACAGGAUUCUGGUUCAGUAGUUCCCGGAAUGGAUGGGGCUUAGUAAUAUGUUCUUUCAGCACUUUCGUAGUUGAUAAGAAUGGCUCACGUUGCUCCGGAUCUCUCCCUGUAGUUCCCUUGAUGAAGCACUGUUGACUCUGAGAUGGGCUGACCAUGCACUAGGCCAAGGAGGAGAGACAGGGUGCCACACGCUGUUCUAAGAAAAGUAGCUGAAGAAAAUAAAGCUACUUUUGCUACUUUUAAAAAGUCUCUAUGCCAUCACAUCCAUCACCUGUACCAUAGUGCACACAUUCGUCGCUUCUCUGAGGACUGCUGGAAGUUCCUUCUUAACGCUUCCCCUGCUUCUGGUCUCACCAUCAGCCUUGCUCAUCCAGAACAGCUGCCAAGGAUGCCCUUUAACAUGAACAUGUAUAAAUGUCUUGAAGUUCUUUUUGGAUCAGGCCUGUCAGGCUUCUCCAUCCAUGGGAUUUUCCAGGCAAGAUUACUGGAGUGGGUUGCCAUUUCCUUCUCCAAGGGAUUGAACCCAGGUCUCCCGCAUUGCAAGCAGACGCUUUACCCUCUGAGCCACUAGGGAAGCUCUUCCUCCUGUUGGAACACACUCUGAGCAUGAUUGACUUUGUGGCCCACGGUGACAUUCCAUACUCUUCCGCUGGCUCUGAUGAUGUUUACAAGCAUAUAAAGGAAGCAGGGAUGUUUGUUCCGACACAGAGAACAGAAGGCAUCUCAACAUCAGACAUCAUCACCAGGAUUGUCUGUGACUAUGAUGUUUAUGCCAGUUGCAACCUCCAGAGAGGGUACACAGCCAAGGAACUGAAUGUCAGCUUUAUCAAUGUAAAAGCGCCACCCCACACCUCUGAGGACCAGCGCGUCACGCUACUGCGGGCACUGUUUACAAAUCACUUACUUUACACCAAUCGAUAUUCUUGAUGUUUUACAUUUAUUGUCUCAUUUAGUCCACAUAACAGCCCAACAAUGUAUUAUUAUCCCCAUUUUAUAGAUGGAGAAAUCAAUGUCCAAAUGGGUAACGUAAUUUGACCAAGGCAUACAGGUAGUGAGUGAACAUCACAUUUUUUAAGGGAGCUGCCUCACCUCCCUUUGCACACCCCAACCUCCCCAUUUAGAGUUCUCAGACUUGGGUGAAGGGUUUCUGAGAGAUCUGCUCUCAUGAAAGGCAAGAGUUGUCUUCUGCUCCAAGGGAAGAAAGGAGCACAGAGGCUCUACAAAGCUAAACUCAGAGAAAGUGUGUUCUUAUUUUAACGGUUUAUAAUUUUCCUUUUAUUAAGGCCUUACAGAUGCUCAUUAGAAACUUUAACAUUGCUUUUUUUCCUUUUUGUCCCGAGAAAUUACAGCCACUUAAAAAAAGCCCAAAGUCUUUGGCCUCCUUUUGUAUUUCUGCUGUAUUGUUCCCACAGAGCCGCUGUUAGUUUAAUAAUAGAGCACCCAUUAAAACAAUCUUUAAAAACAAGCUGUUAAAAAGCAAAGAGGGCAGCCCAGUUGCUAGAGGUGAUGUUGGUGAGUCUGGAUGACUAUGUUUGCCUGAACUCCAAGGAACUGAUCGAGGUGAACAAAAUAAGAGCUCUCCACUCAUACAGAAUUUCCACCACCCGGCUUCCCCCCUAGCUAAGUCAGUAAAGAAUCUGCCUGCAAUGUAGGAGACCAGGGUUUGA